CACGUAGGUGGCAAGCGUUGUCCGGAUUUACUGGGCGUAAAGAGCGCGCAGGCGGUCGGAUAAGUCGAAUGUGAAAGCCCCCGGCUCAACUGGGGAGGGUCAUUCGAUACUGUUCGACUCGAAGGCAGGAGAGGGAAGUGGAAUUCCCGGUGUAGUGGUGAAAUGCGUAGAUAUCGGGAGGAACACCAGUGGCGAAGGCGACUUCCUGGCCUGUUCUUGACGCUGAGGCGCGAAAGCUAGGGGAGCAAACGGG
rnacentral:rRNA from 1 species